rnacentral:lncRNA from 1 species
CCAAAAACCAAAAUUUUAGGAUAUAAUAUUAUAUUUUAAAAUUUUCUUCUCUUGUCAGCAUCUUCACGUGUCCCGAGCCGAUAUACUUCCAAAACUAAAAGAGUCGUUGCCACAAUCAUGAUUCCUUUCCCGGUCUUCGUGAUGGCGCUGCCCUCGAUUUUCGGGAUUCACUUGAUCAACAAUACUAUUAUAUAUCCACUCUGUCCUUUCUUCUUCUACCUCAAGCCAACCAAGUUUCCCACCACUACAAAUCUGGGCGUCGCCACAAAUUUGGGCAUCCCCACCACUGGUCAUCCUCAACCUUCCCCGCAGAGGCCGAAACUCCAAAGUCAAUCAAUGGCGACCUCCACUUCUGUUCCCGAGGUAUUUUCAUGUCACUGCCUUGUUUAAGCGCUUGUUAGAUCUGAUCUAUUUUCCGCCAUGUUUCUCAUUCCUUCCUUUUUUUGCCUCGAUCCAUAGGUUCUUAGAGACCACAUUUUGAUUCCGCUUAGUGACAUGAAUAAUGCAUUCUUUCUUGGCCCCACGGGUGAUGAGGAUCCCACUGAUUUCAUCACUGCUAAAACCCAAAGGAUUCC